rnacentral:rRNA from 1 species
CCUUCGGGCGCUGACGAGUGGCGGACGGGUGAGUAACGCGUAGGAAUCUGCCUCAUAGUGGGGGACAACGUGGGGAAACCCACGCUAAUACCGCAUACGCCCUACGGGGGAAAGCGGGGGUSUUYGGACCUSGCGCWAUGAGAUGAGCCUGCGUUAGAUUAGCUAGUUGGUAGGGUAAAGGCCUMCCAAGGCGACGAUCWAUAGCUGRUCYKAGAGGACGWUCMGCCACACUGGGAYUGAGACACGGCCCAGACUCCUACGGGAGGCAGCAGUGGGGAAUAUUGGACAAUGGGCGCAAGCYUGAUCCAGCAAUACCGMGUGUGUGAAGAAGGCCYUAGGGUUGUAAAGCACUUUCAAUGGGGAGGAAAACCUGCCGGUCAAUACCCGGUAGCUUGACAUUACCUUUAGAAGAAGCACCGGCUAACUCCGUGCCAGCAGCCGCGGUAAUACGGAGGGUGCGAGCGUUAAUCGGAAUUACUGGGCGUAAAGCGUGCGUAGGCGGUUCGUUAAGUCAGAUGUGAAAGCCCUGGGCUCAACCUGGGAACUGCAUUUGAAACUGGCGAACUAGAGUUGAGUAGAGGGGAGUGGAAUUUCAGGUGUAGCGGUGAAAUGCGUAGAUAUCUGAAGGAACACCAGUGGCGAAGGCGACUCCCUGGACUCAAACUGACGCUGAGGUACGAAAGCGUGGGUAGCAAACAGGAUUAGAUACCCUGGUAGUCCACGCUGUAAACGAUGUCAACUAGCCGUUGGUCCUAUUUACAGGAUUAGUGGCGCAGCUAACGCAUUAAGUUGACCGCCUGGGGAGUACGGCCGCAAGGUUAAAACUCAAAUGAAUUGACGGGGGCCCGCACAAGCGGUGGAGCAUGUGGUUUAAUUCGAUGCAACGCGAAGAACCUUACCUACCCUUGACAUCCAGGGAAUCAA